UCAGUGGAAAAGAUGGGGUGUCGGCGUGAAUAGCGCCGAUAUCUGACGGUACCUGCAGAGGAAGCCCCGGCCAACUCUGUGCCAGCAGCCGCGGUAAGACAGAGGGGGCAAGCGUUGCUCGGAAUUACUGGGCGUAAAGGGCGCGUAGGCGGAAUGGCAAGUCGGUCGUGAAAUCCUUCGGCUCAACCGAAGAACGUCGAUCGAAACUGCCGUUCUUGAGGAUUGCAGAGGAGACUGGAAUUCCCGGUGUAGCGGUGAAAUGUGUAGAGAUCGGGAGGAACACCGGUGGCGAAGGCGGGUCUCUGGGCAAUUCCUGACGCUGAGGCGCGAAAGCGUGGGGAGCAAACGGGAUUAGAUACCCCGGUAGUCCACGCUGUAAACGAUGACGACUAGGUGUGGGGGGGUUCAGUCCCUUCCGUGCCGCAGCUAACGCAUUAAGUCGUCCGCCUGGGGAGUACGGCCGCAAGGUUGAAACUCAAAGGAAUUGACGGGGGCCCGCACAAGCGGUGGAGCAUGUGGUUCAAUUCGAUGCAGAGCGAAGAACCUUACCUGGGCUUGACAUGCAGGAAGUAGAAGCCGGAAACGGUGACGACCUGUUAAGUCAGGAACCUGCACAGGUGGUGCAUGGCUGUCGUCAG
rnacentral:rRNA from 1 species